rnacentral:tRNA from 1 species
AUUUAUAUAGUUUAAUAUAAAACAUUACAUUUUCAAUGUAAAAAUAAAACUUUAUUUUUAUAAAUA